GGGGCGGUAGCUCAGCCUGGGAGAGCACACGGCUGAAGAUCAAUCACGGUCUGAUGACUUACAAACGUAAGGAUGAUGAUGAGAUACCGUGGUGUCCCGGAAGGGAGUAAAUCUUUGCUCUCUGGGAAAAUUCAAAUUCCGGCCGUCCCA
rnacentral:tRNA from 1 species